ensembl:lncRNA
ACAUCAUCCUCUAGGAAGUGACAUCAUAUUGGAGGGUAAACCACAAUGGCAUUUCUUGGUUUGUCUGUGAACAAUAUAUCUGUCUGAUAAAGCCAUGUAAAUCGGUAUAAUUAUAUUUCAAAUGAACUUAAUGCUUGAAAUGCUGUAAACUCUUGUAUGUAAACUAACUCUAGUCAAUCAAUUAGCAAAGGCUAACCGUUAUUUCCACCCUGUUCGGAUGAUUUGUCUUUAUGUCAUAUGCAUGCAUAGCAUAUAAAAACGGCGUUUUGUCGAUAAAUUAGUUCUAAGAUAAGUUUAUUUUUAUUUUGUCCUAUCUCUGUAGCGCCAUACGCAGAUUGAGGCAGUACAACAAACUACCACUAGAGGGCAGAACAUGAUGCAUGUUGUGUCAAAACGAACAAAAGUUUGGCCUCUGGCUCCUGCAGGGCCCCCAAGCGAGCACUUUUUGGGGUUCACAGUGUGGUGACCUCUGAGGAGAUGCAGUAACGUCCUGAACUCUUCAGCAUCAAAGAGAUCUGCGGGGGGGCGGAGCUGAUACAGAACGCAUCACAAUGCCGGUCCACCUACACUCUCCCGCUCCUGUUCCUCACUUUCCUCAAGUAUGCGAAUAUGAAUGACUUCAGUCCUCUCCCUGUGACCUCUCUAUCACAUCACCUCUGGUUUGCAGCAGUGAUUCUUUGCAUUUCUUUAGGAUAAAAGCAGCACGAUAUCAGGCAGCGGUCAAAGAGCAGGUCUACUUUCCCUCGUUCCCCCCCUCUCUUGUUUUCUGCCUCUGGCAAAUCAUUCCCUCUCCUCUCCUCUUCUCUUCUUUUCUCUUUUUUUUUUCUCUUUCUCUGUUCUAGUUGGGCUGUAAUUUAUGAUGUUGCAGCAGCACAAAUGAGAUGAAGCUUUUAUAACAGACGCCUGCUGACACACUUUAGCUCCCCUCUCUCUGUUAGGGAAAGUUAUUGGGCUU